rnacentral:siRNA from 1 species
UUAAUCGUUCUCAUUGCCUA